rnacentral:rRNA from 1 species
GACGCAGGGCGCGAGCGUUGUCCGGAUUUAUUGGGCGUAAAGAGCUCGUAGGCGGCAUGUCGCGUCGUCCGUGAAAACCCACAGCUCAACUGUGGGCUUGCGGUCGAUACGGGCAGGCUAGAGUUCGGUAGGGGAGACUGGAAUUCCUGGUGUAGCGGUGAAAUGCGCAGAUAUCAGGAGGAACACCGGUGGCGAAGGCGGGUCUCUGGGCCGAUACUGACGCUGAGGAGCGAAAGCGUGGGGAGCGAACAGG